UGGGGCGCGGGGCUAAGCAGGCGAGUCGGAGCGGCAGACCGUAGACGUGCUCCCGGAUGUUAGCGGCGGACGGGUGAGUAACACGUGGGUAACCUGCCUGUAAGACUGGGAUAACUCCGGGAAACCGGAGCUAAUACCGGAUAGUUCCUUGAACCGCAUGGUUCAAGGAUGAAAGACGGUUUCGGCUGUCACUUACAGAUGGACCCGCGGCGCAUUAGCUAGUUGGUGGGGUAAUGGCUCACCAAGGCGACGAUGCGUAGCCGACCUGAGAGGGUGAUCGGCCACACUGGGACUGAGACACGGCCCAGACUCCUACGGGAGGCAGCAGUAGGGAAUCUUCCGCAAUGGACGAAAGUCUGACGGAGCAACGCCGCGUGGAGUGAUUGAAAGGUUUUCGAUUCGUAAAGCUCUGUUGUUAGGGAAGAACAAGUGCGAGAGUAACCUGCUCGCACCCUUGACGGUACCUAACCAGAAAGCCACGGCUAACUACGUGCCAGCAGCCGCGGGUAAUACGUAGGUGGCAAGCGUUGUCCGGAAUUAUUGGGGCGUAAAGGGCUCGCAGGCGGUUUCUUAAGUCUGAUGUGAAAGCCCCCGGCUCAACCGGGGAGGGUCAUUGGAAACUGGGAAACUUGAGUGCAGAAGAGGAGAGUGGAAUUCCACGUGUAGCGGUGAAAUGCGUAGAGAUGUGGAGGAACACCAGUGGCGAAGGCGACUCUCUGGUCUGUAACUGACGCUGAGGAGCGAAAGCGUGGGGAGCGAACAGGAUUAGAUACCCUGGUAGUCCACGCCGUAAACGAUGAGUGCUAAGUGUUAGGGGGUUUCCGCCCCUUAGUGCUGCAGCUAACGCAUUAAGCACUCCGCCUGGGGAGUACGGUCGCAAGACUGAAACUCAAAGGAAUUGACGGGGGCCCGCACAAGCGGUGGAGCAUGUGGUUUAAUUCGAAGCAACGCGAAGAACCUUACCAGGUCUUGACAUCCUCUGACAACCCUAGAGAUAGGGCUUUCCCUUCGGGGACAGAGUGACAGGUGGUGCAUGGUUGUCGUCAGCUCGUGUCGUGAGAUGUUGGGUUAAGUCCCGCAACGAGCGCAACCCUUGAUCUUAGUUGCCAGCAUUCAGUUGGGCACUCUAAGGUGACUGCCGGUGACAAACCGGAGGAAGGUGGGGAUGACGUCAAAUCAUCAUGCCCCUUAUGACCUGGGCUACACACGUGCUACAAUGGACAGAACAAAGGGCUGCAAGACCGCAAGGUUUAGCCAAUCCCAUAAAUCUGUUCUCAGUUCGGAUCGCAGUCUGCAACUCGACUGCGUGAAGCUGGAAUCGCUAGUAAUCGCGGAUCAGCAUGCCGCGGUGAAUACGUUCCCGGGCCUUGUACACACCGCCCGUCACACCACGAGAGUGGCAACACCCGAAGUCCGUGAGAGUAACCCCCAGGGUCCCACCCUCCGGAUUGGGGCGGCCA
rnacentral:rRNA from 1 species